rnacentral:rRNA from 1 species
CCUACGGGAGGCAGCAGUGAGGAAUAUUGGUCAAUGGCCGGAAGGCUGAACCAGCCAAGCCGCGUGAAGGACGAAGGUGCCAAGCAUUGUAAACUUCUUUUGUCAAGGGACAAAAUCAGGCACGAGAGCCUGACCGAGGGUACUUGAAGAAAAAGCAUCGGCUAACUCCGUGCCAGCAGCCGCGGUAAUACGGAGGAUGCGAGCGUUAUCCGGAUUUAUUGGGUUUAAAGGGGGCGUAGGCGGGCUGUUAAGUCAGCGGUAAAAGCUUGGGGCUCAACCCCGGCUAGCCGUUGAAACUGGGUGUCUUGAGAUGUCGUGAGGUAUGCGGAAUGCGUGGUGUAGCGGUGAAAUGCUUAGAUAUCACGCAGAACUCCGAUUGCGAAGGCAGCAUACCGGCGGCGUUCUGACGCUGAGGCACGAAAGCGUGGGUAUCGAACAGGAUUAGAUACCCGUGUAGUC